GUGGGAAACCUACCUCUUAGCAGGGGAUAACAUUUGGAAACAAAUGCUAAUACCGUAUAAUAAUUAAAACCGCAUGGUUUUAGUUUAAAAGAUGGUCUUGCUAUCACUAAGAGAUGGUCCCGCGGUGUAUUAGUUAGUUGGUGAGGUAAUGGCUCACCAAGACAAUGAUACAUAGCCGAGUUGAGAGACUGACCGGCCACAAUGGGACUGAGACACGGCCCAUACUCCUACGGGAGGCAGCAGUAGGGAAUCUUCCACAAUGGACGAAAGUCUGAUGGAGCAACGCCGCGUGUGUGAUGAAGGGUUUCGGCUCGUAAAACACUGUUGUAAGAGAAGAAUGACAUUGAGAGUAACUGUUCAAUGUGUGACGGUAUCUUACCAGAAAGGAACGGCUAAAUACGUGCCAGCAGCCGCGGUAAUACGUAUGUUCCAAGCGUUAUCCGGAUUUAUUGGGCGUAAAGCGAGCGCAGACGGUUAUUUAAGUCUGAAGUGAAAGCCCUCGGCUCAACCGAGGAAUUGCUUUGGAAACUGGAUAACUUGAGUGCAGUAGAGGAAAGUGGAACUCCAUGUGUAGCGGUGAAAUGCGUAGAUAUAUGGAAGAACACCAGUGGCGAAGGCGGCUUUCUGGACUGUAACUGACGUUGAGGCUCGAAAGUGUGGGUAGCAAACAGGAUUAGAUACCCUGGUAGUCCACACUGUAACGAUGAGUGCUAGUUGUUCGAGGGUUUCCGCCCUUGAGUGACGAAGCUAACGCAUUAAGCACUCCGCCUGGGGAGUACGACCGCAAGGUUGAAACUCAAAGGAAUUGACGGGGACCCGCACAGGCGGUGG
rnacentral:rRNA from 1 species